GAUGAACGCUGGCGGCGUGCCUAAUACAUGCAAGUCGAGCGAACAGAUGAGGAGCUUGCUCCUCUGACGUUAGCGGCGGACGGGUGAGUAACACGUGGAUAACCUACCUAUAAGACUGGGAUAACUUCGGGAAACCGGAGCUAAUACCGGAUAAUAUAUUGAACCGCAUGGUUCAAUAGUGAAAGACGGUUUUGCUGUCACUUAUAGAUGGAUCCGCGCCGCAUUAGCUAGUUGGUAAGGUAACGGCUUACCAAGGCAACGAUGCGUAGCCGACCUGAGAGGGUGAUCGGCCACACUGGAACCGAGACACGGUCCAGACUCCUACGGGAGGCAGCAGUAGGGAAUCUUCCGCAAUGGGCGAAAGCCUGACGGAGCAACGCCGCGUGAGUGAUGAAGGUCUUCGGAUCGUAAAACUCUGUUAUUAGGGAAGAACAAAUGUGUAAGUAACUAUGCACGCCUUGACGGUACCUAAUCAGAAAGCCACGGCUAACUACGUG
rnacentral:rRNA from 1 species